rnacentral:lncRNA from 1 species
UUCAGUUUCUAUGAACAUUUGUUCUUUUGCAUCAGUCCAUAAUGUAAGAGUGCCUAGCUCAUCAGGUGAAAGAGAGUUUAGGUAUGUAAAAACGGUCCAUAAUGUAAGAGUAUCUAGCUCAUCAGGUGAAAGAGAAUUUAGGUAGGUAAAAACAGGGCCAAACACCUUUUUCCAGGGCUCUCCAUCGCUAAAUUUCAGUCCCAAACUCUCUCCAGCAUAAUGUGUACUAAAAAACAUCUGUUAAAUAAGUCAUCGCGAUUAAUUAGUACUCGAUU